AAUGGAUCUUGGUGGUGGUGGAGGUGGUGGUGAAGGAGUUAAACCAGGAAUUGCUAUUGGUGGAAAAGGAAAUAAAGGUGGUGGACUUGAUGGUGGAGGUUGAAAUGGAUUAGGAAUAAGUGGUGGAGGACUUGAUGGAGGAGGUUGAAAUGGAUUUGGAAAAAGUGGUGGUGGACUUGGUGGUUGAAAUGGAUUUGGAAUCAAUGGUGGACUUGGUGGUUGAAAUGGAUUAGGGAUCAAAGGUGGUGGUGAAAAUGGAUUUGGAAUCAAUGGUGGUGGUUGAAAUGGAUUUGGAAUCAAAGGUGGAGGAAAUAAAGGGUUUGGAGGAAAAAAAAAGAAAUCUUCUUGGUCAUGUACUAAUUUUUUCAUUGAAAAAAGUUUUGAUUUUUCUAAAUUUUUC
rnacentral:lncRNA from 1 species